rnacentral:rRNA from 1 species
GACGAACGCUGGCGGCGUGCCUAAUACAUGCAAGUUGAGCGCUGAAGGUUGGUACUUGUACCGACUGGAUGAGCAGCGAACGGGUGAGUAACGCGUGGGGAAUCUGCCUUUGAGCGGGGGACAACAUUUGGAAACGAAUGCUAAUACCGCAUAAAAACUUUAAACACAAGUUUUAAGUUUGAAAGAUGCAAUUGCAUCACUCAAAGAUGAUCCCGCGUUGUAUUAGCUAGUUGGUGAGGUAAAGGCUCACCAAGGCGAAGAUACAUAGCCGACCUGAGAGGGUGAUCGGCCACAAUGGGACUGAGACACGGCCCCAACUCCUACGGGAGGCAGCAGUAGGGAAUCUUCGGCAAUGGACGAAAGUCUGGCCGAGCAACGCCGCGUGAGUGAAGAAGGUUUUCGGAUCGUAAAACUCUGUUGGUAGGGAAGAACGUUGGUGAGAGUGGAAAGCUCAUCAAGUGACGGUAACUACCCAGAAAGGGACGGCUAACUACGUG